CUACGGGCGGCACCAGUGGGGAAUUUUGCGCAAUGGGGGAAACCCUGACGCAGCGAUACCGCGUGAGUGAAGAAGGCCUUUGGGUCGUAAAGCUCUUUUCUAAGGGAAGAUAGUGACGGUACCUUAGGAAUAAGCGCCGGCUAACUCCGUGCCAGCAGCCGCGGUAAUACGGAGGGCGCGAGCGUUGUUCGGAUUUACUGGGCGUAAAGGGCGCGUAGGCGGCCUGGCAAGUUAAGGGUGAAAUCCCGGGGCUUAACCCCGGAACUGCUCUUAAAACUGCCAAGCUAGAGAUGGUCAGAGGCGGGUGGAAUUCCAGGUGUAGAGGUGAAAUUCGUAGAUAUCUGGAGGAACACCGGUGGCGAAGGCGGCCCGCUGGGGCCAUUCUGACGCUGAGGCGCGAAAGCGUGGGGAGCGAACGGGAUUAGAUACCCCCGUAGUC
rnacentral:rRNA from 1 species